CCCGUGCAAACCCUGUGAAACCCCUCUCUCGUUCCUAAUUUUAGCUUAGCUCACCAGCUAGACAACUAAACGGACCGUGUGUGUACAUUUUACUCACCUGGCUGGAACACGGCCCACGUGCUCGGACCACACGCGCAGACCACAACGCUCGUGCGACUCCCACCAAGUAAUUCCGCACAUCACCAUAGUUAUGAACUUAAUCGACACCGAAUAAAGUCAACUCGACUGCAGCGUACCCAAAAAGAUGGGCCAAAGAAGUCUACGGUGUCCUGCCUCACUCACACCCAUUGUGAUGAAGUGCUUUGAGAGGCUCAUGAUGAGGCACAUCAAGACCCCGUUUGCGUAUUGUCCAAACCGUUCCACAAAUGAUGCCCAGCAGCAUCUCUACUUCCUAUGAAGGCUGAGGAAUGUCUUACAGGAUGUGUUUGACUUUGUUGGAUAAGAAGACAUGGCGAGUGAAAUUUUUGAAGCCACUUCAUCAAGAUCAAUUGAGAGCAGUUCCUCUGGGUCAAUAAUGGAUCAUGGUAUAAAAGCACCUUCAACUCUAUAUGUACUUUGGUUUUCAAAUCAAGAUGUACAGGAAAUUCUCUCACGUCACAAAGUGAUGGCAUGUAUGCCCCUCAACAUGCAUCUCCUGGUCAUCCAGCCAGCCACCACUUACUCUUCUCCCACACCCACUGGAAUCCCCGAUUUCUCAAGAUGAAGAAACUUGCUGCUUCAUCUGCCCAGGAGCCAAUUGUUAUUCUUAAUGAACAAGAAGAGCACGUUUCACAAAAUCUGUUCCCUCAAUCACUGCAUGACCUCAAAGGACCUGUGGACGAGAUUGAUCUACAGACCAUACUGAAAAAAAUAGUCAGCAAAGUUGAUGGAAGCUUCUGUCCAACAAGCAACCAAAAAUAUAUAUACAGGAAUAAUGUUUUCCUGUGUAACUUGUGAGCAUUCAAACGCUGUUGAUGAGGGCCAUCCAUGAGUCAAACAUCUUUGAGGGCCAUGAGAAAAGCCAGCAGUUGUGUCUUAAUACUCAAGGGAAAGACCUUUCUUGUACUUUGAAAGGUGCGAUACCAAUAAACUUUGCAGACUAAGCUGUACACAUUCGUGGCAAAAAUGAUAGCUGUGUGUGUCGUUCAUGGAGGAGUUGGUCCACACUUUUUCUCCGACAGGCAGAUCUGUGGAUUACCAACACCACCCACCAUGGUAGAUGAAGUUGCUGACCAUACCUUCAGGGAACAGUUAAUUAAACACACUCCUCCAACAUUCAAAAUGGUACUGGAAAAACUAAAUGGACCCUUGGAAUUAAUAACUGGUUGAUGUCUUCAAAUCUUUGGAGGUCACUCAGGGUUGCUUCUUUUCCUCAUUGAGUCCUCAUUGUGCUAUUGGGUGCCCACUUUUUGGUGGUGUAGCCACAGUCCCAAAGUGUCUUCAUUUGCCUAACUGUACACUGUUGAAUUUCUAAAGUCUUUGAAGUCACUUGGUAACUCUUUCCACCUUUAUCUAAAUCAACAGUUCUCGAUCAUAGAUCCUCUGAAAGCUCAUUUUGGUUAGGCAUGGCUUACAUUAGCAUAUUCUUCUUGUGAGGAGCAAACUCAGUUUAAGUGGUUUUUGAUCAGUCAAAGUAGCACUAGUCUAGUCCAAACUAAUUUUCUUAGCAAGACUCCAGGUAUGCUUACAGCUGGCUUUUUUGAGGGGAUUAUCUCAAGGGUACACAUACUUUUUCCAUUAGCACGAUGAGAUUUUUAAUGGUUGUUCUCAAUAAAGAUAUGAAAUCAGAAUUUGUGUUAUUAUUUUAGGCACAUUACAUCUGUAAUGCUCUUUGACCUAAUCAAAUGAUCAGAUCACAGAUGACAAAUAAUGCAGAAAACCAUGAAAUUCCAAAAGGUCCACAUAUUU